rnacentral:rRNA from 1 species
UACGUAGGUGGCAAGCGUUGUCCGGAUUUACUGGGCGUAAAGAGCGCGCAGGCGGUCGUACAAGUCGCGUGUGGAAGCCCCCGGCUCAACUGGGGAGGGUCACGCGAUACUGUUCGACUCGAAGGCAGGAGAGGGAAGCGGAAUUCCCGGUGUAGUGGUGAAAUGCGUAGAUAUCGGGAGGAACACCAGUGGCGAAGGCGGCUUCCUGGCCUGUUCUUGACGCUGAGGCGCGAAAGCUAGGGGAGCAAACGGG